UACGUAGGGGGCAAGCGUUGUCCGGAAUCAUUGGGCGUAAGAAGCGUGUAGGCGGCCCGAUAAGUCCGCUGUGAAAGUCCAGGCUCAACCCUGGGAUGCCGGUGGAUACUGUCGGGCUCGAGUCCGGAAGAGGAGUGUGGAAUUCCGUGGUGUAGCGGUGAAAUGCGUAGAGAUCGGGAGGAACAUCAGUUGCGAAGGCGGCUCUCUGGACCAGCACUGACACUGAGGCACGAAAGCGUGGGGAGCAAACAGGGA
rnacentral:rRNA from 1 species